GAUGAACGCUGGCGGCGUGCCCAAUUCAUGCAAGUCGAGCGAACAGACGAGGAGCUUGCUCCUCUGACGUUAGCGGCGGACGGGUGAGUAACACGUGGAUAACCUACCUAUAAGACUGGGAUAACUUCGGGAAACCGGAGCUAAUACCGGAUAAUAUAUUGAACCGCAUGGUUCAAUAGUGAAAGACGGUUUUGCUGUCACUUAUAGAUGGAUCCGCGCCGCAUUAGCUAGUUGGUAAGGUAACGGCUUACCAAGGCAACGAUGCGUAGCCGACCUGAGAGGGUGAUCGGCCACACUGGAACUGAGACACGGUCCAGACUCCUACGGGAGGCAGCAGUAGGGAAUCUUCCGCAAUGGGCGAAAGCCUGACGGAGCAACGCCGCGUGAGUGAUGAAGGUCUUCGGAUCGUAAAACUCUGUUAUUAGGGAAGAACAAAUGUGUAAGUAACUAUGCACGUCUUGACGGUACCUAAUCAGAAAGCCACGGCUAACUACGUG
rnacentral:rRNA from 1 species